rnacentral:rRNA from 1 species
GACGAACGCUGGCGGCGUGCUUAACACAUGCAAGUCGAACGGUAAGGCCCUUCGGGGUACACGAGUGGCGAACGGGUGAGUAACACGUGAGUGAUCUGCCCUGCACUUCGGGAUAAGCCUGGGAAACUGGGUCUCAUACCGUAUAGGACCAUGCUCUUCACGGGGUGUGGUGGAAGGCGGUUGCGGUGUGGGAUGGGCCCGCGGCCUAUCCGCUUGUUGGGGGGGUAAUGGCCUACCAAGGCGACGACGGGUAGCCGGCCGGAGAGGGUGACCGGCCACACUGGGACUGAGAUACGGCCCAGACUCCUACGGGAGGCAGCAGUGGGGAAUAUUGCACAAUGGGCGCAAGCCUGAUGCAGCGACGCCGCGUGAGGGAUGACGGCCUUCGGGUUGUAAACCUCUUUCAGUAGGGACGAAGCGCAAGUGACGGUACCUACAGAAGAAGGACCGGCCAACUACGUGCCAGCAGCCGCCGUAA